UAAGAAGGGGGCAAGCGUUAUUCGGAAUCAUUGGGCGUAAAGGGCGCGUAGGCGGCCGGGCAAGUCAGGGGUGAAAUCCCUCGGCUCAACCGAGGAAUUGCCUCUGAAACUGCCCAGCUCGAUGCCGGGAGAGGGUAGUGGAAUUCCCAGUGUAGCGGUGAAAUGCGUAGAUAUUGGGAGGAACACCAGUGGCGAAGGCGGCUACCUGGACCGGUUCUGACGCUGAGGCGCGAAAGCGUGGGGAGCAAACAGG
rnacentral:rRNA from 1 species